UUGUAGAAAUAAACUUUUAUAUAUUUCUGUUUUUUUUUAUCACUCAUCCCUAUAACAUAACAAGAUAUAUAUAUAUAAAUAUGGAAGGGCUUUGAUUGCAUCUGUAGAUCCAUGAGUCCAUGUUUGUAUCUCUUUAAGGUGAAUUCUAGCACUGCAUCAUAUUCACUUAAAGCAGUUGUCCAAGUCAUUAGUUGCAGACGAAAGUAAUUGCAAUGAGUACUUUCAUUCAGAAAACACUAUAUAAUGCUUUUACAAAGGAUAAGCAUUGAG
rnacentral:lncRNA from 1 species